CCUGAGGAGAAUUCACUGAUUCACUGAUGCGGCCAGUAAGUCAUCUGGGCCAAAGGUGGGUGGGGAGAUGAUAGGGGUGCAAGUGUCACCUUCAAUCACAGCAUAACUGCCCUUGCUUUCUUACCUCUCAUUUAGAUACUUCAGUGCUUGCUCAGGUCCCCUGUACCCUCCUUCAUUCUUCCUUCCCAGCCAUACUACUUAUGGGGAGACUUUCUCUUUAUAAAAUGACUGUUAGUCUUGUCAAAUUAAUCCCAAAGUAGUACCAUCAAUUUCCCCCUAAAAUACCAACAAGACUCCUGCUUGAAACUACUUGUCCAUUAGGGACAGAGAAGAGUUCAUGAGAAUCAGCAUUUUCUGAGGACUCUAGCUGUCUUCCGAGAGAGAGUUCUCCUGCUGGUGCCUCCUCUGUAAUAAAGCAAAGGCUCCUGGAACCACAUUAUCAUUCUCUUCACUCAAGAGAUGAGGAUGCUGAAAUUCAGAGAGGGGAAGUGAUUUGCCUCAGCUUGUGCUAAAGAAACAUUUCAACAGAGAACCCAGUGGAAAUUAUGACAUGUUAUCUUCUCAGAGUCCUGAACUCCCAUCCCUACCUCAGAAGAGACUCCACUGUUCACAGAAGCUAAAGGCAGUUCCUUCCCAGUGGCAACUAUGUUUGGAUGUUGGAUCUACACUUUUCUCAAGCACUGUGAUCUUCAAAUGGCACUGCAGUGAAGAUGGGCAUUUCUUGGGCCCCAUUUAGGGGAAUUUAUAUCCUGAAAUACAAAAGCAUUUCGUCACAAUGCAACCUUGCCCAUGAGCCUAUCCCGAAAUGUGAAUCCUGAGAAGAGUAAUUCAGAGAUG
rnacentral:lncRNA from 1 species